AGAGCGGCGGAUGUCGGGAAGUUGGUCAAACUUGAUCAUUUAGAGGAAGUAAAAGUCGUAACAAGGUUUCCGUAGGUGAACCUGCGGAAGGAUCAUUACCGAUGGAAUGUCCAAAACAAGGUUACAUUAACCUUUGUGAACUGUACACAACCUUUAGGGGUCGGUCUUCGUGCCGUUAAAUGUGUCGUUCGUCCGUUGAUUCGGCGUUCGGCCAGCCCCGCCUUCCGCCAUUGUGGACGCACUUGAAUGUACCAGUCUGAAAAUGAAACCUUCCUUGCUGCCUGUCCUGCCAGGUAGUAGUGCGAAGGAAAAAUAAAUGAGAGAGACAACUUUUAACGGUGGAUCUCUUGGCUCACGUAUCGAUGAAGAACGCAGCCAGCUGCGAUAAGUAGUGUGAAUUGCAGAAUUCAGUGAAUCAUUGAAUCUUUGAACGCAAAUGGCGCUCUUGGGUUCUCCCAGGAGCAUGUCUGUCUGAGUGUCGGAUAUUAUCUAACGCACUCCAGCGUGCGGAAUUGAGGCGUCACGGUGUAAGACAACUCGCCGUGUCCCUUGAAGGAAAGCGUGCUAGACUCGCAUCGCGCGGUUUCAAACCCGCACUCCACAUGCGAAGGCUAAAACUACUUUGCCCUUCGUCGGGGUGCGGGUCCGCCAAGGCGAGUCGGCCGACAAAGGUGCGACGCAAUAAACAUCUUGACCUCAGAUCAGGCAAGGCUAC
rnacentral:misc_RNA from 1 species